rnacentral:rRNA from 1 species
CACGGGGGGAGCAAGCGUUGUUCGGAAUCACUGGGCGUAAAGGGUGUCUAGGCGGUCAGGUAAGUGAGAUGUGAAAUGCCCCGGCUUACCCGGGGACCUGCAUCUCAUACUGCCUGGCUUGAGUAUGGGAGAGGAUGAGGGAAUUCCUGGUGUAGCGGUGAAAUGCGUAGAUAUCUGGAGGAACACCGGUGGCGAAGGCGGCAUCCUGGACCAACACUGACGCUGAGUGAGCGAAAGCCAGGGGAGCAAACGGG